GAUGAACGCUGGCGGCGUGCCUAAUACAUGCAAGUCGAGCGAACAGACGAGGAGCUUGCUCCUCUGACGUUAGCGGCGGACGGGUGAGUAACUCGUGGAUAACCUACCUAUAAGACUGGGAUAACUUCGGGAAACCGGAGCUAAUACCGGAUAAUAUAUUGAACCGCAUGGUUCAAUAGUGAAAGACGGUUUUGCUGUCACUUAUAGAUGGAUCCGCGCCGCAUUAGCUAGUUGGUAAGGUAACGGCUUACCAAGGCAACGAUGCGUAGCCGACCUGAGAGGGUGAUCGGCCACACUGGAACUGAGACACGGUCCAGACUCCUACGGGAGGCAGCAGUAGGGAAUCUUCCGCAAUGGGCGAAAGCCUGACGGAGCAACGCCGCGUGAAUGAUGAAGGUCUUCGGAUCGUAAAACUCUGUUAUUAGGGAAGAACAAAUGUGUAAGUAACUAUGCACGUCUUGACGGUACCUAAUCAGAAAGCCACGGCUAACUACGUG
rnacentral:rRNA from 1 species